rnacentral:lncRNA from 1 species
CAACUUCGUCCGCCGGACUCGGAAUCCCGCGAGACUUUACGAGGGGCCUCCGUGUGCCAAAACUAGGCCGCGGGCAAAGCCAUGCCCAAAAAUAACCGCCCGCUGGCCGGGGCGCCAAGUUCGUCCAGCGGAAAAAGGCCACAAAAACGGGUGGGCUAUAGCCUUGGGGGGUGGGGCUGGCCAACUUCGUCCGCCGGACUCGGAAUGCCGCGAGACUUUGCGAGGGGCCUCUGUGUGCCAAAAAUAGGAUGCGGACAAAGCCGCGCCCAAAAAUAACCGCCCGAAGGCCGGGGCACCAAGUUCGUCCAGCGGAAAAAGGCCACAAAAACGGGUGGGCUAUAGCCUUGGGGGGUGGGGCUGGGCAACUUCGUCCGCCGGACUCGGAAUCCCGCGAGACUUUGCGAGGGGCCUCCGUGUGCCAAAAAUAGGCCGCGGGCAAAGCCAUGGGAGAAAAUAACUGCCCGAAGGCCGGGGCGCCAAGUUCGUCCAGCGGAAACAGGCCACAAAAACGGGUGGGCUAUAGCCUUGGGGGGUGGGGACGGCCAACUUCGUCCGCCGGACUCGGAAUCCCGCGAGACUUUGCGAGGGGCCUCCGUGUGCCAAAAAUAGGCCGCGGGCAAAGCCGCGCCCAAAAAUAACCGCCCGAAGGCCGGGGAGCCAAGUUCGUCCAGCGGACAAAGGACACAAAAACGGGUGGGCUAUAGCCUUGGGGGGUGGGGCUGGCCAACUUCGUCCGCCGGACUGGGAAUCCCGCGAGACUUUACGAGGGGCCUCCGUGUGCCAAAACUAGGCCGCGGGCAAAGCCAUGCCCAAAAAUAACCGCCCGCUGGCCGGGGCGCCAAGUUCGUCCAGCGGAAAAAGGCCACAAAAACGGGUGGGCUAUAGCCUUGGGGGGUGGGGCUGGCCAACUUCGUCCGCCGGACUCGGAAUUACGCGAGACUUUGCGAGGGGCCUCCGUGCACCAAAAAUAGGCCACGGAAUAAGCCAUGGCCGAAAAUAACUGCCCGAAGGCCGGGGCGCCAUGUUCGUCCAGCGGAAACAGGCCACAAAAACGGGUGGGCUAUAGCCUUGGGGGGUGGGGCUGGCCAACUUCGUCCGCCGGACUCGGAAUGCCACGAGACUUUGCGAGGGGCCUCCGUGUGCUCAAAAUAUGCCGUGGACAAAGCCGCGCCCAAAAAUAACCGCCCGAAGGCCGGGGCGCCAAGUUCGUCCAGUGGAAAAAGGCCACAAAAACGGGUGGGCUAUAGCCUUGGGGGCUGGCGCUGGCCAACUUCGUCCGCCGGACUCGGAAUUCCGCGAGACUUUGCGAGGGGCCUCCGUGUGCCAAAAAUUGGCCGCGGGCAAAGCCACGCCCAAAAAUAACCGUCCGAAGGCCGGGGCACCAAGUUCGUCCAGCGGAAAAAUGCCACAAAAACGGGUAGGCUAUAGCCUUGGGGGGUGGGGCUGGCCGACUUCGUCCGCCGGACUCGGAAUGCCGCGAGACUUUGCGAGGGGCCUCCGUGUGCCAAAAAUAGGACGCGGGCAAAGCCGCGCACAAAAAUAACUGCCCUAAGGCCGGGGCGCCAACUUCGUCCAUCAGAAAAAGGCCACAAAAACGGGUGGGCUAUAGCUUUGGGGGGUGGGGCUGGCCAACUUCGUCCGCCGGACUCGGAAUCCCGCGAGACUUUUCGAGGGGCCUCCGAGUGCUAAAACUAGGCCGCGGACAAAGCCGUGCCCAAAAAAACCGUCCGCUGGCCGGGGCGCCAAGUUCGUCCAGCGGAAAAAGGCCACAAAAACGGGUGGGCUAUAGACCUGGGGGGUGGGGCUGGCCAACUUCGUCAGCCGGACUCGGAAUGCUGCGAGACUUUGUGAGGGGCCUCCGUGUGCCAAAAAUAGGCCGCGGACAAAGCCACGGCCAAAAAUAACAGCCCGAAGGCCGGGGCGCCAAGUUCGUCCAGCGGAAAAAGGCCACAAAAACGGGUGGGCUAUAGCCUUGGGGGGUGGGGAUGCCCAACUUUGUCAGCCGGACUCGGAAUGCCGCGAGACUUUGCGAGGGUCCUCCAUGUGCCAAAAAUAGGCCGCGGACAAAGCCGUGUCCAAAAAUAACCGCCCGAAGGCCGGGGCGCCAAGUUCGUCCAGCGGAAAAAGGCCACAAGAACGGGUGGGCUAUAGCCUUGGGGGGUGGGGCUGGCCAACUUCGUCCGCCGGUCUCGGAAUCCCGCGAGACUUUACGAGGGGCCUCCGUGUGCCAAAAAUAGGCCGCGGGCAAAGCCAUGGCUGAAAAUAACUGCCCGAAGGCCGGGGCGCCAAGUUCGUCCAGCGGAAACAGGCCACAAAAACGGGUGGGCUAUAGCCUUGGGGGGUGGGGACGGCCAACUUCAUCCACCGGACUCGAAAUCCCGCGAGACUUUGCGAGGGGCCUCCGUGUGCCAAAAAUAGGCCGCGGGCAAAGCCACGGCCAAAAAUAACUGCCCGAAGGCCGGGGCGCCAAGUUCGUCCAGCGGAAAAAGGCCACAAAAACGGGUGGGCUAUAGCCUUGGGGGGUGGGGCUGGCCAACUUCGUCCGCCGGACUCGGAAUGCCGCGAGACUUUGCGAGGGGCCUCUGUGUGCCAAAAAUAGGAUGCGGACAAAGCCGCGCCCAAAAAUAACCGCCCGAAGGCCGGGGCACCAAGUUCGUCCAGCGGAAAAAGGCCACAAAAACGGGUGGGCUAUAGCCUUGGGGGGUGGGGCUGGCCAACUUCGUCCGCCGGACUCGGAAUCCCGCGAGACUUUGCGAGGGGCCUCCGUGUGCCAAAAAUAGGCCGCGGGCAAAGCCAUGGCAGAAAAUAACUGCCCGAAGGCCGGGGCGCCAAGUUCGUCCAGCGGAAACAGGCCACAAAAACGGGUGGGCUAUAGCCUUGGGGGGUGGGGACGGCCAACUUCGUCCGCCGGACUCGGAAUCCCGCGAGACUUUGCGAGGGGCCUCCGUGUGCCAAAAAUAGGCCGCGGGCAAAGCCAUGCCCAAAAAUAACCGCCCGCUGGCCGGGGCGCCAAGUUCGUCCAGCGGACAAAGGACACAAAAACGGGUGGGCUAUAGCCU